AUUGAACGCUGGCGGCAGGCCUAGCACAUGCAAGUCGAACGGUAACAGGAAACAGCUUGCUGUUUCGCUGACGAGUGGCGGACGGGUGAGUAAUGUCUGGGAAACUGCCUGAUGGAGGGGGAUAACUACUGGAAACGGUAGCUAAUACCGCAUAACGUCGCAAGACCAAAGAGGGGGACCUUCGGGCCUCUUGCCAUCGGAGGUGCCCAGAUGGGAUUAGCUAGUAGGUGGGGUAACGGCUCACCUAGGCGACGAUCCCUAGCUGGUCUGAGAGGAUGACCAGCCACACUGGAACUGAGACACGGUCCAGACUCCUACGGGAGGCAGCAGUGGGGAAUAUUGCACAAUGGGCGCAAGCCUGAUGCAGCCAUGCCGCGUGUAUGAAGAAGGCCUUCGGGUUGUAAAGUACUUUCAGCGGGGAGGAAGGGAGUAAAGUUAAUACCUUUGCUCAUUGACGUUACCCGCAGAAGAAGCACCGGCUAACUCCGUGCCAGCCGCCGCCGUAA
rnacentral:rRNA from 1 species